rnacentral:tRNA from 1 species
GGUUUGUGGCUCAGUGGUAGAGUGCUUGCCUGGCACAUGCAUGGCACUGGGUUUGAUUCUCAGCACCA